rnacentral:rRNA from 1 species
GCUAAAAAUCUAGCCCAAAUAAACCCUAAUGUAACCCUCACACUCUCUUUCAUGGACUAAAACAUUUUUCCUAUUCUAGUAAAGGAGAUUGAAAAAGAUUACCGAAGCAAUAGACAUAGUACCGCAAGGGAAAGAUGAAAUAAAAAUGAAAAACCGCAAGCAAAAAAAAGUAGAGAUUUACCCUCGUACCUUUUGCAUCAUGGUUCAAUUAGUCUAAUCAAGCAAAAAGAAUUAAAGUUUGACCCCCCGAAACUAAGCGAGCUACUUCGAGGCAGCUUUUUGAGCUAACCCGUCUCUGUGGCAAAAGAGUGGGAUGACCUCCAAGUAGCGGUGACAGACCUAACGAGCUUAGUGAUAGCUGGUUACUCAAGAAAAGGAUUUUAGUCCAACUUAAAGCUUUUUUUAAUCUACUAAAAUUUCUACCAGGCUUUAAAGUAAUUCAAAUAAGGUACAGCCUAUUUGAAACAGGAAACAACCUCAGCCGACGGGUAUAAUCUACUAUUCUACAUCCUCCACCAGUUGGCCUAAAAGCAGCCACCUAUAAAAAAGCGUCACAGCUUAAUCUGGUUAACUUGUUCAAUUCCCCCUAUCAUUUUUAACCCUCCCCCUCUACUGAGUAAUUCUAUACCCCUAUAGAAGGUUUUCUGUUGAAACUAGUAACAAGAAGGAAGACCUUCUCUUUAGUGCAAACAUAAAUCAGAAAGGACACACCACUGACAAUUAACGUCUAUGAAUUCAAAUUAGCAACUUUUUUACAAGAAAAACCUACUUAAUCACACGUUAACCUAACACUAGAGCACUACAAGAAAGAUUUAAAGAAAAAGAAGGAACUCGGCAAACUUUAACCCCGCCUGUUUACCAAAAACAUCGCCUCUUGCAUAAAAAUAAGAGGUCCAGCCUGCCCAGUGACAUGUUCAACGGCCGCGGUAUCCUAACCGUGCGAAGGUAGCGUAAUCACUUGUUCUUUAAAUGGGGACUAGUAUGAAUGGCAUCACGAGGGUUAUACUGUCUCCUUUUUCUAAUCAGUGAAACUAAUCUCCCCGUGAAGAGGCGGGGAUAAAACUAUAAGACGAGAAGACCCUAUGGAGCUUUAAACUCACCUUCAAGUGCUGGCUCCUUUCUACCCAUUUACAAUCAUCCAACCACCAUGAAGACAAGUUUUAGGUUGGGGUGACCGCGGAGCACAAAAAAACCUCCGCAUUGAACUAGGCCUCAAAACCUUGAACAAAGGGCCACGACCCUAUGUACCAAAAAAUUUUCAUCCAUUGACCCAUUUUUAUGACCAAUGAACCAAGUUACCCUAGGGAUAACAGCGCAAUCUGCUCCAAGAGUCCAUAUCGACGAGCGGGUUUACGACCUCGAUGUUGGAUCAGGGUGUCCCAGUGGUGCAGCCGCUACUAAUGGUUCGUUUGUUCAACGAUUAAAACCCU